UACAGAGAGUGCAAGCGUUAAUCGGAAUUACUGGGCGUAAAGCGUGCGUAGACGGUUGCGUAAGUCAGAUGUGAAAGCCCCGGGCUCAACCUGGGAAUUGCAUUUGAGACUGCGUAGCUAGGGUGCGGAAGAGGGAAGCGGAAUUUCCGGUGUAGCGGUGAAAUGCGUAGAUAUCGGAAGGAACACCAGUGGCGAAAGCGGCUUCCUGGUCCAGCACCGACGUUCAGGCACGAAAGCGUGGGGAGCAAACAGG
rnacentral:rRNA from 1 species